rnacentral:rRNA from 1 species
AUUGAACGCUGGCGGCAGGCCUAACACAUGCAAGUCGAGCGGGGUUUUCGGACCUAGCGGCGGACGGGUGAGUAAUGCGUAGGAAGCUGCCCGAUAGAGGGGGAUACCAGUUGGAAACGACUGUUAAUACCGCAUAAUGUCUACGGACCAAAGUGUGGGACCUUCGGGCCGACAUGCUAUCGGAUGCGCCUACGUGGGAU